rnacentral:rRNA from 5 species
GGCUCAGGACGAACGCUGGCGGCGUGCUUAACACAUGCAAGUCGAACGGUGAUGUCAGAGCUUGCUCUGGCGGAUCAGUGGCGAACGGGUGAGUAACACGUGAGUAACCUGCCCCCGACUCUGGGAUAACUGCUAGAAAUGGUAGCUAAUACCGGAUAUGACGACUGGCCGCAUGGUCUGGUCGUGGAAAGAAUUUCGGUUGGGGAUGGACUCGCGGCCUAUCAGGUUGUUGGUGAGGUAAUGGCUCACCAAGCCUACGACGGGUAGCCGGCCUGAGAGGGUGACCGGCCACACUGGGACUGAGACACGGCCCAGACUCCUACGGGAGGCAGCAGUGGGGAAUAUUGCACAAUGGGCGCAAGCCUGAUGCAGCAACGCCGCGUGAGGGAUGACGGCCUUCGGGUUGUAAACCUCUUUUAGUAGGGAAGAAGCGAAAGU